rnacentral:rRNA from 1 species
AACGAACGCUGGCGGCAUGCCUAACACAUGCAAGUCGAACGAGACCUUCGGGUCUAGUGGCGCACGGGUGCGUAACGCGUGGGAAUCUGCCCUGGGGUACGGAAUAACAGUGAGAAAUUACUGCUAAUACCGUAUGAUGACGUAAGUCCAAAGAUUUAUCGCCCUGGGAUGAGCCCGCGUAGGAUUAGCUUGUUGGUGAGGUAAAGCUCACCAAGGCGACGAUCCUUAGCUGGUCUGAGAGGAUGAUCAGCCACACUGGGACUGAGACACGGCCCAGACUCCUACGGGAGGCAGCAGUGGGGAAUAUUGGACAAUGGGCGAAAGCCUGAUCCAGCAAUGCCGCGUGAGUGAUGAAGGCCUUAGGGUUGUAAAGCUCUUUUACCCGGGAAGAUAAUGACUGUACCGGGAGAAUAAGCCCCGGCUAACUCCGUGCCAGCAGCCGCGGUAAU